rnacentral:rRNA from 1 species
CCUACGGGAGGCAGCAGUGGGGUAUAUUGCACAAUGGGGGAAACCCUGAUGCAGCGACGCCGCGUGUGGGAAGACGGUCCUCUGGAUUGUAAACCACUGUCCCCAGGGACGAAGAUGACGGUACCUGGGGAGGAAGCUCCGGCUAACUACGUGCCAGCAGCCGCGGUACUACGUAGGGAGCGAGCGUUGUCCGGAAUUACUGGGUGUAAAGGGAGCGUAGGCGGGACUGCAAGUUGGGUGUCAAAUCUACCGGCUCAACCGGUAGCCGCACUCAAAACUGCAGUUCUUGAGUGAAGUAGAGGCAGGCGGAAUUCCUAGUGUAGCGGUGAAAUGCGUAGAUAUUAGGAGGAACACCAGUGGCGAAGGCGGCCUGCUGGGCUUUUACUGACGCUGAGGCUCGAAAGUGUGGGGAGCAAACAGGAUUAGAUACCCUUGUAGUC